rnacentral:rRNA from 1 species
ACGGGUGCGUAACGCGUGGGAAUCUGCCCUCAGGUGCGGAAUAACUCAGGGAAACUUGAGCUAAUACCGCAUAAUGACUUCGGUCCAAAGAUUUAUCGCCUGAGGAUGAGCCCGCGUCGGAUUAGCUAGUUGGUAGGGUAAAAGCCUACCAAGGCGACGAUCCGUAGCUGGUCUGAGAGGAUGAUCAGCCACACUGGGACUGAGACACGGCCCAGACUCCUACGGGAGGCAGCAGUGGGGAAUAUUGGACAAUGGGCGAAAGCCUGAUCCAGCAAUGCCGCGUGAGUGAUGAAGGCCUUGGGGUUGUAAAGCUCUUUUACCCGGGAUGAUAAUGACAGUACCGGGAGAAUAAGCCCCGGCUAACUCCGUGCCAGCAGCCGCGGUAAUACGGAGGGGGCUAGCGUUGUUCGGAAUUACUGGGCGUAAAGCGCACGUAGGCGGCUUUGUAAGUUAGGGGUGAAAGCCCGGAGCUCAACUCCGGAAUUGCCUUUAAGACCGCAUCGCUAGAAUUGUGGAGAGGUAAGUGGAAUUCCGAGUGUAGAGGUGAAAUUCGUAGA